rnacentral:rRNA from 1 species
CAGCCGUAAACUAUGCGCGUUAGGUGUAUCGGUGACCACGAGUUACCGAGGUGCCGAAGGGAAACCGUGAAACGUGCCGCUUGGGAAGUACGGUCGCAAGGCUGAAACUUAAAGGAAUUGGCGGGGGAGCACCACAACAGGUGGAGCCUGCGGUUUAAUUGGACUCAACGCCGGGAAGCUCACCGGAUAGGACAGCAGAAUGAUUGCCGGGCUGAAGACCCUGCAUGACUAGCUGAGAGGAGGUGCAUGGCGUAGACGUCU